rnacentral:tRNA from 4 species
GGUCUCGUAGCGGAGUGGUUACCGUUGUGUUCUUAUAAUGCAUAGGUCGUGAGUUCGAACCUCACCGAGACCA